UGAUGCAACCACCUCCCCCACCCAAUGCACCUCCACCACCACCUCCAUCAAGUUGAAGAUUAGAGCAGUUAUUCCUUAUGCUGUCCAUAACACCAGCUGUUAUCUUAGGUGUUUCUUGUAUCAUCUGUUGCUUCAAUUUGGACAAUAAUAUGCUAUAAUCAUCCUUGAAUGAGCUGAUAUGACGGAAUGUUUUGAUUUUUGAGACGGAACUUUACAUGCUUCAACUUCAUAUUAUUUAAGUUGUAUCUAGAUGUUUUAUUUAUUUAGUUAUUUAUUUAGUUUUUGACUACCUUAUAUAUUGAUUUACCAAGUAAG
rnacentral:misc_RNA from 1 species